rnacentral:lncRNA from 1 species
GCAGUAUAUAAAUAACAGGUCUUAACAGAAAAAUAAGUCUUUUUGCUUCUUUUUAAAAUGUUUUUAUUCUAUUUAUUUAUGGAGAAGGCAUACAUGUCACAAUGCUCGUGUGAAGAUGAGAGAACAACUUAGAGCAAUUUAUCCUCUCCUUCCACAGUUGUGGGCCCCAGGGUUGAACUCAGGUCCCCUGGCUUGAUAGCAUCUGCCCUUAUCCACCGAGCCAUCUCCCGAAGGCUUUGGAUCCUUAUGGUUAAGGAAAGAUGAACUCCAAGGAAGUUACAUGUCAUUGGAGCAGCAGAGGGGUUUCACUGGGGGGUUUUACAUCCAAGUUUGAAAGGCUGAGCUCUGUUGCUGUGGUUGGAGUCUCUGAAGCCCCCCACCUUCACAGUGCUCCCAGAAAGAUCCUCAACUGGUGGCCCAAGGCCAUCAGAUUAAUCUCUCAGUGACACUUCUUUCAUCCCAGUCCAAGGACCUGCUUAUCUGGUCAGUUUAUAAGUCAGCCACUGCGCCUUUUAAAGUUCUCCUCUAAGAGGCCCCAGAUGCCCUAUCCAAUGUUAUCUCAUCCACAGCACUCAGCCCACCUAGGGCUUUAUCACUCACCACUGCCAUCCUUCUCCUUUCUCCUCCUGAAGGUCUGCUGGUCCACAACUUCCUUCCAGAAGCUUUCAGGGCUCAGGGCUGCAGGCUCUUGGCAGUUGAGUCCCCCGAAGCUCGGAUGGCGGCCUCACGUUCUCUCCAGCUGCUGGAGAUCUGUUUUUGGACAGUAGGCGUGAUCACAGCCGCCAGCACGGACAGGACAGGGGCGUGCACCCCGCUUCCGCGGCACCCAAACACAACAGGCGUCCACCCCACAGGCGCGGCGUGUUUACAAAGUCCGUGCCGCAUCGCAGAUCGCUAGCUAGAAGCUGGGCAGGAAGUGGGGACGAGGGGGCGGGCGAGACAAAGGAGCUGGGUGCUGAGCUCUGCUAGGGUCUGGUUCCUGACACUCCAGUGCAGCCAGGAGGGGGCUCAUCAAGCUCUGAUCGCUACUGCACGGAGAGUCUACAGAUCUGAUCCUCAGCCCCAGGUGGUGGUAGUUGGGGGUGUGUCUUCGCCAGGCUCAGGUGUACACACACUCCACGGGAUGCCUCCUGGGCAUCUGCAAUUCGUGGCGCACAUUGAUUAGGAAGUAAACA